UAAGAAGGCCUGGUGGUAUUCAUUGUGCUCAAUUAGCUAUUCUGUUCCACUGCUAAAUGUUAUGUGUCUUUGUUUAUGUUUAGGUUUCUACAUGAGUUCAGUUUAUUGGUGCAGCUGCGGAGUCCUCAGAGACAAGAACACAGUGUUUUCACCAUGCUCAGCCCUAACAACCACCUCAUGAUGCAACUGCGAAUCAGUGCUCAUGCAGUCAUUUUCAUAGGAACACAGCAACAACAUUAUGAGUUCUCAGUCAGCGGCCUGUCUGAUGGAAAGUGGCACCAUGUGUCUCUCAGUGUGUCUGCCAAGCAGCUGGCACUGUAUGUUGACUGCUCUCUGCUGGAGUACGUUGACUGGGACUAUCAUGGCAUGGGGAUCAACACCAAUGGGCUGCUUAUUUUUGGAGGCAUUAUCGAGGGCUUUGAAACUCCCUUAGAAGGCUUUAUCCGACAGCUGACCUUCCUGUUAAACAACCCAGAUGCCGCCCGACAACACUGCAGCCACUACUCGACGUGCUGUGGUGAGACAGCCCCAAAGCCCCCUCGUACUCCCCGUACCAACAACGCCUUGGAGGUGAGAAAAGAUGCAGUGGGAUCGGGGAAAAUAAACUUAAUUCUCACUUCUAGAAUCUUUUAUUGUUCUCCUCCCUAUGUAAACAAGGCCCUGACAUGUUGAU
rnacentral:lncRNA from 1 species